GGAGUUUCCAAGGUGUGAAAUCAAUCAAAGUAAAUUCAAGAAAUAAAAAUCGUUUGUUCUGUUCUUUUGUGACGGUGAAGAAGAUGAGAGUUGCGGUGGUUGGUGGUGGUAUUAGUGGGCUGGUUUCAGCCUAUGUUUUGGCAGAAAAGGGAGUUGAAGUGGUUGUGUAUGAGAAACAAGGCCAUCCCAACACUCUUACUUUUGAUGGUUUUGAUUUGGAUCUUGCUUUCAUGGCCUUUAAUAGUGUAACAUAUCCAAAGAUGAUGGAGUUUUUUGAUAAGCUUGGAGUAGAGUUGGAGCCAUUAGAUAUGUCAUUCUCAGUAAGCUUAGAGGAAGGAAAAGGGUAUGAGUGGGGUACUCGAAAUGGCUUCUCAAGUUUAUUUGCUCAAAAGAAAAAUCUCUUUAAUCCUUAUUUCUAUCAAAUGAUUAGAGAAAUUGUCAAGUUCAAGGAUGAUACUAUCAGCUAUGUUGAUAUGCUUGAGAACAACCGAGACAUAAUAGAGCGAGAUGAAACGUUAGGAGAGUUCAUUAAGUCUCAUGGUUACUCCAACUUGUUCAUGAAAGCUUUUCUUAUUCCAAUGGUUUGUUCGAUAUGGAGUUGCCAUUCAGAAGUUAUUAUGAGUUUCUCUGCAUUCUCUGUCCUUUCGUUUUGUCGUAACCACUAUCUCUUUCAGCUUUAUGAUCACCCUCAAUGGCUUACAAUCAAAGGACAUGUACAGUGUUACGUCAAUAAAGUAAGAGAGAAGCUAGAGAGUAAAGGUUAUCACAUUAAAACCUACUCCGAGGUACAAAUGAUUUCAACUAUCGAUGAGGGUUGUGUAGUUGAGACUGAAGAUGGUUCUAAAGAAGUGUAUAAUGGGUGCAUAUUGGCUGUCCAUGCUUCUGAAGCUCUGAGAUUACUUGGAGACCAAGCUACUCCUGUUGAACAAAGAGUUCUUGGUGCAAUCCAAUAUGUUUAUAGUGACAUUUACCUUCAUCGUGACAAAACUUUAAUGCCCAAAAACCCAGCUGCAUGGAGUGCAUUGAACUUCCUAGCAAGUAGUGACAAUAAAGUAUGUUUGACAUACUGGCUCAAUGUGAUUCAGAAUCUUGGUGAAACAAGUCUCCCUUUUUUUGUGACUCUUAAUCCUAAUCACCCACCAAAACAAACAUUGCUUAAGUUUUCAACUACCCAUUCACUCCCAUCUCUUACUUCAUCGAAAGUUUCACUCGAGUUUCAUCGAAUUCAAGGAAAAAGAGGAAUUUGGUUUUGCGGAGCUUAUGAUCAAGGUUAUGGAUCCUAUGAGGAUGGAUUAAAGGCAGGAAUGGUUGUAGCAUAUAACUUAAUUGGAAAAAGUUGUGAGCUAAUUGUUGGUAAUCCAAAUCCAAUGGUACCUUCUAUGAUGGAAAGAGGAGCACGCCUUUUUGUUACUAAAUUUCUUACAAAGUUUAUCACUGCAGGAUGUUUCAUUAUAUUGGAAGAAGGAGGCACUGUUUUCACUUUUGAAGGAAACACAAAAAUAUGUUCCCAUAAAGUAACUAUCAAAGUUCACAAUCCACAAUUUUAUUGGAAGAUUAUGAUGGAGGCAGAUUUAGGACUCGCAGAUGCUUAUAUUAAUGGAGAUUUCACCCUUGUUGACAAAGAUGAAGGUCUACUAAAUCUCUUUUUGAUAUUUAUUUCCAAUAUGGAAUCAAAGUCCUCAGCCUCACUAAACAAGAAAGGGUUGAUGAGGGAAUGGUGGAAUCCCUUGUUGUUCACAGCUACUAUUGCCUCAGCCAAAUGUUUCUUUACCCAUGUUUUAAGGAAAAAUACUCUAACACAAGCUCGCAGAAACAUCUCUCGUCAUUACGACCUGAGUAAUGAACUCUUUGCUCUAUUCUUGGAUGAGACAAUGCAAUACUCUUGUGCUAUAUUUAAGUCAAUUGAUGAAGACUUGAAGAAUGCACAAAUGCGAAAAAUGUUAAUUCUAAUUGAGAAAGCAAGAAUUGAUAAAAAUCAUGAAGUUCUUGAUAUUGGGUGUGGUUGGGGAAGUUUGGGUAUUGAAAUUGUCAAAAGAACUGGAUGCAAUUACACUGGCAUCACUUUAUCUGAGGAGCAAUUGAAACUAGCACAAAAGAAAGCUAGAGAUGCUGGCCUUCAAGAAAACAUUAAAUUUCUUCUUUGUGACUAUCGACAAUUGCCUGCUACCUACAAAUGUGACAGAAUCAUAUCUUGUGGGAUGUUAGAACAUGUUGGCCACAAAUUUAUUGAAGAGUUUUUUAGUUGUUGUGAGUCUGUUUUAGCAGAGAAUGGCCUUGUUGUUCUACAGUUUAUAUCAAUGCCCGAUGAUCGAUACUAUGAGUACAUAAGAAGUCCAGGCUUUAUAAAAGAAUACAUUUUCCCUGGUGGAAGUCUACCUUCAUUGAGUAGAGUAACAUCAGCCAUGGCUACUUCAUCUACACUCUGUGUGGAGCACGUUGAAAAUAUUGGAAUUCAUUACUACCAAACACUGAGGAUUUGGAGAAAGAAUUUUCUAGAAAACCAAAGUCAGUAGUCCCGGGAUCCGUAAGGGGAAACACCGGGUAAGCUGUGCAAUCCCACAUCGCCUGAGGAAGGUCAAGUGGGAUGAUUAUGAGACUGUGUGGGUAUGGGACUGCAUAGUUGAAGAGAGCUUAAAUGGAUUGAUUGAUACUACCUAUAUCAACAAGGUGCAUCUUGUUUUUCGGUAGCCUAUCUCGAAAGAACUCCACAGUUAAGCGAGCUUGACUUGGGAGUAAUUUUAGGAUAGGUGACCUCCUGGGAAGUUUUCCCAGGAAGCGUGCGAGUGAGGACAAAGCAUGUUGGAAACACUCGUGUUGGUCUAUAGGGUCAGUCAUCAAUCCAGGAAGCAGCCAGAGUGGCGUACUCGUGUAUAAGAGUCAUUCAUUCCGUGGGUGUGAGGACCUAAUGGAGGCUUGAAGCGAGGACGUUACAAGGAUCAUUUAUUAUUGGAUACCAGUGUAAAAUUAAGGCCCUUGGAUUCAAUGACAAGUUUAUUAGGACUUGGGAGUACUAUUUUGAUUAUUGUGCAUCGGGUUUCAAAUCACGCACUAUUGGUGAUUAUCAGAUUGUGUUUUCUCGUCCUGGCAAUGUAACAACUUUUAGCAAUCCAUAUAGGGGCUUUCCUUCUGCCUAUGGGGAUGACUUUAAUUAAUGUUGAUC